UCAUCAAAACCAGUGAGCGAUCGAUGAUUCGAAUCUAAAUUACAAUACGUAGGACAAAAGACUGAGAACGUGAGAAGAAAUAAGAGCCGUUGUUGCUUGAUUCCGAGCUGGAGUAUGAUAAAGAUCGAUGUAGAGAUGGUUAAUAUGACCUUCUGUACUCAAUACAAAUGAUGGUUACAUAUGGAUCAUACGUUUCAAACUUGCAAUACGUACCCCAAAAACAUCAGUAUAGUUUGAGUUUGAGUUUUGGUUUGUCUUGUACACCCCUAUUAGCUGGUGUCAUUGAUCAUUGACAUUUGGAAACACACAUCCACACAGUGAUCGAGUGGUGGGGUGACAGAACAAAACUAAAUUAGUGAAGGAACAAAAGUAGGAGUGGGAUGAGGAAAUUCGUUUAGGAAAGAAGGGGAAUUAGCUCAUGGAGGCUGGGAAUGGCCAUUUGUAUUAUUGUGUAUGAAAGAGUGUAUGUAUAGGACCAGCACAGUUGGUCAUUGUCUCCUACCUUGUGGUUUGUGGUGGAUCAUUCAUGGGUCUCAAUCUUGAACUUUAUAUGCGUUUUCUUGGGCAUAUGCAGUUCUUUUCGUAACCCAAACAUCCUUCCACAGAAUAAUUGAUUGGAAAGAAAGAAAAAAUUGAUUGAAAAGACCUUUUAUUUUUAUUUGAUGAAGGAUAAAGUGUAGAGACAAAGAGAUAGUAAGAGAGUCAUCAUCUUAUUCAUUGAUAGGAGCCCUUUAUAUAGGGAAUUACACAAUACCAAUAUGGUAAGGAUAUGAAUACAUAUAUCUAGUCUAACUACAUAUCCUAUUGGCAUAAGGCCAAGGCAUACAUAGAGAAUAUCCUAGAACACUCCCCCUUGUGCCGCGCGCUGAUAUGCCGAUGGUGCUAAUCUGUUACCUCGUCAAAAACCUCGUCAAGUCACAAAAACCCUGUGGGAGAAAAACUGAACCUUGAUCGUAGGAGAAAAAGAGUACAACACACCCUUCACAUUUGAAAGUGACAUGUAUGUAUGUGCUAGACUCCCCCUGAAGUUCGCACCUCCCCUGAUCUUUACAUCAAUCAUAGGGCUCUUCCUGAUUCUUACUAAUCACGGAAGUUUCAACAACUUAGCAUGUCAAUGCUUUUUAACAUGUCUUCAAAUGUGGCAUUGGGCAAUGAUUAACUAAAUCAUGCCGUAUUGUCCUCAAAUGAUCUUUUACACUUAGAUCUUGAGGAGAAGGUCGCUUUUGAACUCAAAACAUAAGUUCGUGCAGGAAAUCAGAUUUCCGCGCAGCAUGACCUUCAAUUACUAGAACAGUCGUAACUUCCUCUAGGAAAUACAUAUGAACGAACCGUAAACGGUUUUGGAAACUAGACUCAUUUAGCUUUCCAACCAUAUAUUACACACAUUCUGGUUCAUCAGGAUCUGUUCACAAAGUCCCGUCGAAGUUGACUGNNNNNNNNNNNNNNNNNNNNCCUAUAGGUCCCGUGGAAGUUGACCUACAAAACUUGGCAGAUUCUGAUUUCGCUUUUGAUGUGUCUUUCUUAUGUAGGGAUAGAAUAAGCCUCAACCUUUCAUACCAUUAAGUAUUGAAAAAGGAGUUACUGCCAUUACAUUGGUGUUGCGUGGGCGCAUAGCUACACUUAGCUUUACAACUUUUCAUAGCGAAUAAGAUGUCAAGUCUUUCGUAUUGUGUUGAGUACAUUGAUGCGUCUUAUUGUAUUUAGAUGGGAACUCCAUCUCUUAACACAUAUUUGUCAUCUUGCUUUAGACAAAACAACGGAUCACUCUUUAAAGCAAAGACCUUGACUAAUCAUGGGAGUAUAUGUAGGCCUCACUAGUUAUAGAGCGCCUAAGCCGAUUGAUGGAAAAUCAUCAUCAAUACAGUCAUCGAGUGCCUUAUCGAGACCAUGUCUUCCCAAGAUCUUUUUCUUCGGAUGUUGAUACAUAUUGGCAUCUCUUGAUUCAUCAAGAGUCCAUGUAAAUCCGGAAUGAACACGCAAAGGCAUAAUUCACCAUAUUCCUUCCAAAUCAAGUAGAGUCCAUGUGCGUUUCAAUACAUUUAGCAAACGCAUGCUCCUGUGGUUUGGAGCCACUUGAUUCGGAUGAAUGAAGUCCGUUUAAGAUCUUCAUGUAUAUCUCUGAUCCCAUAGAGAUGUUAUUAUGACCACAUUCAUAGGCUGCAUGUUCAGUUAUUCGGAAACUAUUCAAUGACAUCCAUUACGAGAGCAUAUCUCAUCGUAGUUGAUCCUAGUGCGUGUUAGUGAAAGACCUUGCGCCAUAAGGUGAGUCUAAGCUCUUACUCUCACUACGCUAUCUAACAAAGGCAUAGUUGAUAGGGUUUAGCUUGCGGUGUCGGCAUCACCUGCCCAAGGACCUAUCUCUUUGUUAAUGCUGGAUCGCAUCUUUCCAUUAGGCCAAUCAACUAAGUUGAUAUCCAUCAACGAAGGGUGGUUCGAUAGUAGACUUAUUAUCUCACGUCCUCAUGUACACUAGUGUAAUACUUGUAGAGAUCUCUAUAUGGAUUGGAUUUGACAUUGAGGCGUCCCCCAACGAUAAUCACAAUUCAGACUUUAUGAGACGGAUUUGAGUAUCACUGAUCAAUGGAUCAGGUUGUGCCAAGCUCGCUUUCUUUCUAGUGUAAGACAAUAUCGAGCCUAAGGGCCUCCCUCUUUUUAGGGAGCCACACGGCCUUGUGACACCAAUUUUUGCCACUAUAUGGCGUCACCAUAUCACUAUCCAUGGUGACGGCGUCAAAACCAACACUUUUUGGUCGCGUCAUGUCCUUUUGUAGGACAUCAAUCCUUACAGACAUAUUUGCAGCAUGUGAUCUCGUCACUUUAACACUAUAAGCAUUUGAGAUCAAGAUGAGACUUAGUGGGGACAAACCACGACAAUUCACGUCGUUCCACUUGAACACUUGUGUUCUUAUCUCCUCCUAACGGCGGGAAUAUUGUCUCAUCAAAGUGACAAUCCGCAAUUUAGCGGUGAAUGAGAUCGCCUGACAAGGUUCCUACAUAUGCGGAUUAUAGGUGGAGGUUCAUAUCCAACCUAAACUUAUUCAUCUCAAAUGACCCAUCAUUGUACACAGUGGCAAUGCGAUUUGGCACCUGGAAAUAACAUCUAGCCGAGCUCAAGGAUUGGAGAUCCGUUUCACUCCUGCCGAGCUCAAGGAUUGCAAUUUCGUGUCAAUCCUGGUACACAGUCACGAGCUGUAGUACAACAAAAUUCAAUGAUGGUGGGUCGUAGAUGAAUAGUAAAGCUGUAUGCAAAUAUUGCAUAGCCCCAAGACGCAAUAGAAAGAGUGGUGCACAUCAAUAAUGUUCGAGCGACAAGCUAAAGUUGCUUGGUCGUAGCCUCGGUGAGACCGUAUUGCGUGUGAACAUGGGGUACAGGACACUUCAACUUACAUCCCGAUGAACUUCUUUAAAGAAUGGGUAGUGAGCCCGUAGAAGUAUAAGCAGUAUAAGCAGUAGAUAAUAGUGUAACACGUGACCAGUGUGUUAACACAUCAACCAACACCAUAAAACAUAAAAAGGUAUCCGCAAGUUGGUUGUAUCUAUCUACAUAGUUUGAUGUAAGAAUAGAAUGUUCACUUUUGUGUUAUUUAGCGUAGGAGGGUCUCACUCCUUAUUUAGCUAAAGAAUAGGCUUUCAAAAUGAGCAAUGAGCAUUGCAGGGGGCCAAUGCGACAUAGAGGAAAGGCCGGUGCACCUCAAUUGCUUGAGGAAUUGACCGGACGACCUCCAGGAAGUUGGAGUCGUGUUCGGGUGACGUCAAUGUCCCCCGGGUCACCACCAUGCUUCAUGGUGAUGCUAGAUCUCGAAUGUCUUCGUUUUGAGCGGAAGAAUGGAUGUCCAUGAGAAUUUCUCAAAAUUUGGACCAUUAUAUCUCUUCCAAGUUGACCAAUUUGGUCAAACCAAAGCCUAUAUGAGUCGGUGUCCCAAAUAUCAUGUUUGGCGACAACAUGGGAUUCGAUAUUCGAAUCGUAGUGACAUACAGUUCACUAGAUUGACUCAUGAAUUUCUCCAAGAUGCGCUUCAGUUCGCAUUCAUGAGGAGGUAUACACAAAAGAAUUCUUAUUCAUUCUCACAAUGUGUUUUCAAAUGAAAACCAUUAGCAUGAAUGUCUUUAAAGCUCAACAUGGUUCCACUAUCUGCGAAGCACUCAAUGUCUCUAUGAGACAUAAAUACAAGGAGUAGAUAGGCGAGUAAAUAGUUCUACUUGAACCAUUUAGAAGGAUUGAAAGAAGCUACGAAAAGCUGCAAUCCCGAGAGUGCAUAAAAAUUUUCGAGCAGAAUGACCUUUGCGCACUAAAACAGCCAUAACUUCUUCGUUAAAAAAGAUAUGGAUGAACCGUGAAAAGUUCUGAAAACUAGACUCAUAGAGCUUUCCAAUGAUAUAAAGCUCACUGUCUGGUUCGUCCGGAGCUGUUCACAAAGCUCAAACGAAGUUGACUGUCCAGAAGGGACAGAUUGCUGUUUUUCGCAGAUUUGGCAUGUGCGAAGCUGUGAAGCUUGCAGGUGGCGUGUAGGCUUUUGCCUUAGCCAAAAGUGACGUGUGUAUAAUCAAAACCAAGUCCUUUCGAUCGUUCUAAGGUCGUAAACUCCAUGACUAGUUAGCAAAAGCUCCCUGACAUGAACAUAAACUAACUCAGAGGACCUAGAGGAUCCGAUUAUGAUGAUAAUUUUCCAGCUUUGAUAAGUCUUCAACGUCUUUUGUAAGACGACAAUUGGUUUAAUAGCGUAGGGGGAUCCAAAAUCAAAAGCUUUCGGUAACUCCAAGUCAGUAUGACCAGGCAUGUCCGUGGAGGGUCGGUAGUGCGANNNNNNNNNNNNNNNNNNNNNNNNNNNNNNNNNNNNNNNNNNNNNNNNNNNNNNNNNNNNNNNNNNNNNNNNNNNNNNNNNNNNNNNNNNNNNNNNNNNNNNNNNNNNAUCACACUGAGCUUGGAUGAGCCUAGUUGAACAAUUGAUGAUGAAAAAUCCGCUAUAGGGUAGAAGACUUAACCGGAAACACGUGGGCGAUCCUCCUUGAAGAUGCAGUGCCAUGAGUCACCUUCAAAGGAAGGGACCAAAAUCGGCACAAUAUGCCAUGUUUCUAAGGACGAUGUAAGUGUACAUCUUGAUUGUAAAUAGUGUCUAGACCGGGAGUGUCGCUAUUAGAGCCGGCAACACCUCCCCCUCUUUUCUAGACAUCGGCAUGACGUUUUCUGCCGUUGCCAUGACCCAUAUUGUUGUCCCCAGAUUAGGGGAUAAUCCGAAAUAAGUUCAUCACAUUAGCGUAUAUACAAUUCCUGUUUGUAUGAUCAAAAUCAAGUCUCCUUGGUAAUUCCACACCAACUUGGAGGACGUAGAGAACUUGAUGAUGAUCGAAUCCGCUAAAGAUUAUAGAUCAUGAUGCCACAAAAGAUCAUCGACAAUAUGUAGUUAAUUAAGGUGGUAAGCAAUCCAUUUGUCUAAUAACUCAACAAGGAGAGUUAUAUGAACGUUUCGAGAAACGCUCCAUGAGUGCAUUCCACAGUACUUUGUGGUCAUUACUUUUUGCACAGAUUGUCAUUGAAGGCUUUUGUUGAUGUGGCNNNNNNNNNNNNNNNNNNNNCUUUUAAUGGUUUGUCAUUCGGAUUGAUCAUACACAAUCCGAAAAAGCCGCGAAUUGAUCAAACACAAUUCGGAAAAAGGCAUUGGAUUGAUCAAACACAAUCCGAUAAAAGGUCGGGGUUGAUCAAACACAACCCGGACAAAGAAACAAGAAUGAUUAAACACAUUCUUGACCCGCGAAUAAAAUUCCGGGAUUUGGGUACCUGCACGCACAAAAUCCCAAGCAUAGAAUGGAGAUGGAGAAGGGAGGAAAGAUUUUAUCCUCCCCGAGUUAUUGAACUUGGAAAAGUUUAAGGUUUCAAAAAACAUACCUUUCUAGAGGCUGCCGAGAGGAGAAAUAACGUUUCGCCUACUUAUACUUCGAAUUUGGGGCUGAAAAUUUGAUAGGAGGAGCAGCUCUGGAUGGGGAAGCUGCUGUCAAAAUUUCAGGUUGAUCGGAGCAAGGGAAGGUGGUGAACUGGUGGUCGGUAGCGACGGCGGUCUGGAAUCUUCCGGCGGCCGGUUCGGAGACUUUCCUGCCGGUUCUCAGGGUGAGACCGGCGGCGUUGGAUCCGGGGCGGAGAGAGCUUUCUGGGGAUAUAAAAUUCCGGCAGAGGGCAGUUGGAAUUUUGGUCGGAAAUCGGGAAAAACAAGGCUGUCCGAUUUUAGGGUUUUGGUUUUUUAGGGUUUAGAAAAAAAUGGUGGGCUAUUGGCUCUAGGGUUAGAACAAAGUGCAUGAUAACGUGAUGAAGGAUAAAGUGUAGAGACAAAGAGAUAGCAAGAGAGUCAUCAUCUUAUUCAUUGAUAGGAGCCCUUUAUAUAGGCAAUUACACAAUACCAAUAUGGUAAGGAUAUGAAUACAUAUAUCUAGUCUAACUACAUAUCCUAUUGGCAUAAGGCCAAGGCACACAUAGAGAAUAUCCUAGAACAUUAUUUCUAUUUUCUUUGAAAUUAUCCUACACGAUAAGUCUACCACACUUGCUUUAGCCAAACGAGUAUGUUGAUCUAGGAUGCUAAAUUGCUAGCUAGCUAAUCGAGUCAGAGAGGGAAACUUAGGGUAUAAUUAAAUUUAGUGUACCCUUUUAAAUCUUUGAGGUUUGAGAGUAACUUCAUUUUACUGAUAAAUGGAAACGAAUAAUGAAUAUUAGAAAAUUUAAAAGGUAAAUAGAAUUGAAAUCAACUCCGACCUCAAAGUAAUAAAAUGAAAGUAUAUAAUCCUUUUAUGAUCCACUAGUAGUCGGCGAACAUACUUGUAAGAUUAGAGUUCAGUGUUUGUUUUAUACUUAAAUAAAUUUUGAUCAAGAAUAACAUAGAUCUAUGAAAUUCAUGUACCGAAAUUUGUUUUUGUGACUACAGUACUCAAGUUAAUCGAGUGAGGGCAGCUAGCUAGCUUGGGGUUCAGUCCUAGCUUCUCGUUGUUUCUUCUACAAACUGAACCGAGGAGAGAUGAUUUCUCCGAUCUGCUUUAACUUCUAAAAAGGACGCGACGAUUGACGAUUUUGUGAGAGGGAUCGGAGUCUUCACUCAACAACAUCUUCUUUCGUCGAUAUUUUGAAGACUUGCACAAAGCUUUUGAUUAAUUCUCAGUUGGACACUCACGGAGCUACAGUAAGACCAUGGCACCCCCAAACCUUUUGAAGAUGGUCAAUUACACCACUAUUGUAAGACUAAAUGGUUACAAUUAUAUAUAUUUGUAAUGAUUUGACCUCAUUUUCAUAUAAUAAUAUGUCACGUAAUAAUGACUAGUUUGAUAUUUUGAACUAUAUAAUCUCAUUCCUCGUUGCAUCUUGUCAUAUUCAUCAUCAUAAUCGAUUAGUUAUUAACUAGGGAAAAUUCUCAUCAGCCCUAAUUUUAGAGAAAUUAUUCUCACUAACAAAAUAAGAUUUUAAAAUGUCCAUCAACCCAACACACUCUUAGGAUCUAUUCCCACUAACAAAACUUUUAACUUUUUGUGAUUUUUUGACAAAAUUACCCCUCCUUUAUCUCUUUCUCAUGUCCUCUCUUUCGGUUCUCUCUCUUCCUACUAUAUAUAUAUAUAUAUAUAUAUAUAUAUAUAUAUAUAUAUAUAUCUCUCUCUCUCUCUCUCUCUCCGGUCAAACCAUCGUUCUCGUCGUCGGCGUCAACACUUCGAGCCCCGGCGAGUGCAUCACCUGCGCCAAGGGUCUCGGCGAUGUUGAGGAAGAAGGUGACCUCUCUUGGAUCUGGGCCAUAGAAGCCGCCGUCGACGAUCUCAGUCCGGAAACUCAGAUAAGGUUCAAGCCUUGCCGUCUUCGGGGGCUUUGAGGGUCCGAGAAGGAAGGACAAGCUUGGUGAAGGCAUGGUUCAUCUUCUAAGAGAGAAUAGAUGCAGAUCGAAGACGAAGACGAAGCAAAUGGAGGCUGGUGAUGCAAUUGGGAUGUGAUAGGGCUGGUGAUGCAAUUAGGAUGUGAUGGAAUCAUAUGUUUACUUUUGUUCAAGGUUUGUGGGGAUUAAAAAAAAGAAAAGAAAAAAAAAGCUUAUAAAUUGAAAUUGGGCAGGUUCAUGAUUUCAUUCAUUCACCGUUAUAUGACCCUAUACAUGGGUAGUUUGCUCAAAGAUCGAGGUCUGUUGGUGUGCUUUAGAAAACCAUCAAGAAAGCCAUCAAUUGCAAGUUCAAUCAGAGUGAGGGUAUCUAGCUAGCUCAACCUUUGUUUAGUCUUUUUUAUUUUAUUUUCUUUAUGUUGAUUUUAAUACGGGUUUGUUAAUCAUAUUGAAUUAUUGCUAUAUUUGUCAAUGGUUUUAGCCCUGUUUUUGUGAUGAUGCACGUACCGACUGAGAAUGAAUUUAGAAAGGAUUAAACAUAUAGACUAAUAUACAUUGGCUGAUAUGUAUUGUAUUUUUCUUUCAGAACAUAUCUGCUGAUAUAGAAGAAGAAGAAGAAACAUAUGGAACUUUCGAGCCGUAAAAUAAUUCUCGACUGAAGCAUAAAGUAAAGUUCAAGGGUCAUACUGCCCCCAGUAGGAGGUCAUACUGACCCAAUAGGAGGUCCUACUGCCCCCAAUAGGUGGUCCUACCGCCCCUAAUAGGAGGUCCUACUGACCCCAAUAGGUGGCUAUAUUACACCCAACAGAAGGUCCUACUGACUCAAUAGGAGGUCCUACUGACCCCAAUAGGUGGUCUUACUGACCCCAAUAGAUGGUCCUACUGACCUCAAUAUGGACAUGUUAUAAAUGACAGAAGUACACAGUUAAGUUCAAGGGUCCUACUGCCCCCAAUAUGAGGUCCUACUGACCCCAAUAGGUGGUCAACGGUUGCCGGAGUCACGGUCAACGGUCAUUGGUUGCAAAAAUCCGGUCAUUGAUAUUUAUUUCAAAAUAGAUAUUUUAUUGUUUUUAUAAUGGUCUAUUGUAGUUUAUUUAAAUCAUUAAGGAUAUAAUAGUCUUUUUCUUGUUUAAGUUGGCUCUUGAGAAUUUUAAAAUCUGAAUUUGUUGGUGGGAAUAAAAUUCUUAAAAUUAGAGCUAAUGAGCAUUGUCCGUAUUAACUAAUCAUUUUACAUGCAUGUAAACUUUCAAUAUAUAAUCAUUUACAUGUACAUGAAUGAAACUAUACAUCAACAAAGGUAGGGUGUCCAGAAUUGAUGGGUUGGGCCUUAUGUGGAAGGAGGAGGUUGAAGUUACAUUGAAGUCUUUCUCAAAGUCUCAUAUCGACGGUCUAAUUGGUGAACAAAGUGAUCCACAAAUAUGGAGAUUUACAGGUUUGUACGGUGAACCAAAAACAAAGGACCGAGAGCGGACUUGGAGUCUUCUUCGUCAACUUGGUCGAAAUAACAUAAGGCCGUGGGUUGUUGGUGGUGAUUGUAACGAUCUUCUUAGGUCGGGAGAGAAGGAAGGAGGCCCUCCCUGGUGUCCGAGGCAGAUGGAGGCAUUUGCUAAGUGCUUGGAGGAUUGUAACUUACGUGAUAUGUAUUAUUUUGGUCCGUGUUUCACUUGCAAGGGAAACAAAGGUGGUAUUUUGAUUAAAGAGCGGCUAGAUAGAUAUAUGUCAACAAGAGAGUGGCUACAAAAGUUCCUGGCCUAGAGAGUCUUACAUCUAAACCCCUCAAGGUCUGACCAUCUUCCAAUUUUGCUGGAAGUCAGGGCAACAAAACCACGAAAGAAGAAGAAGAAAAAGAAGUUUCGGGUUGAAGCUUUCUGGUUGGAAGACGUGGAGUGUAAAGGGGUAGUUGAGCAGAGUUGGGGAGGUGUGGAUGACGGUGACCCUUAUGUGUCAGUUUGCAAAAAAAUUGAAAAUACUAGGAGGAGACUUAUUGCGUAGAGUAAAACAAAGUUUGGGAGCCUCUGCAAGGAGAUUUCUCAAACUAGAUCAAAACUAGCUGUGUUUUUCGAUCGGGGUACUCUGGUAGGCUUGGAGGAGACUCGUGUGGAGUUGGAGUCAAAAUUAAAUGAUCUUUUACGCCACGAGCACUUAGGGCUGGGCACGAGACGGGAUGGGCCGGGAUUUGGUGAAUCCCGUCCCGUCUCGAAAAUAAAAGAACGGGACGGGAAUGCGUUUUUAGAAAUUUAUCCCGUACGUCCCGAUCCCGAAAAAUUAACCCUCAGAAAAAAAAAACUGAAAAUAAUCAAAAUAUCCAUCUCUGAAUUAUUAUCUUUCUCAUCUUUGUCAUCAAUUUCGGCAUAGAAGAAGUGGGAGAAGGAGGAGGAGAAGUGGGAGAAGAUGAAGAUGGGGGCUUUACGGUAGGAGCCGAAGAGGUUGUCGAGGGUUCCGAUGUGGGUGAGGUGGAGGAAGGGGCGGUGGCGGCGAGAUCGAGACGGGAGAGGAGGAGGAGUCUGCGGGGGUGGGGGAAGAUCUGGAUGCGACGAGGUCGAGGUGGGAGAGGAGGGACUUGAGGGAAGGGUCGCGGUCGAUGAAGACGGUGAGAAGGUGGGUGCCAUUUUUGACGACUGUGCGGAAGGAGAAGAUGAGAAGGGAGAGGAAGAGGAAGGUGAGGAGGUCGGAGGCGGAGAAUGAGAAGGUUUUGUUUGUUAGGGGGUUUCUGUUUGUUUUUUGUUUUGUUUUUGGGUGGAUCUGCGUGGGAGAGAGAGAGAGGAGAAGAGCAUGUGUGUGUUGCAGGUGGGGGGAUGGUUUUGUAUAUAAAAUGAUUAAAAUUAGGUAUUCUAAUAUUACGGGACGGGACAGGAUUUUUCGAGAUAGACCCGAUCCCGUUUCAAUACUACCAUAACGGGACGAGACUGGACGGGAUUGCCAUUUUCAAAACCUAUCCCGUCCCAUCCUGUCAUGCUAACUUUCAGGACGGGACCGAUAUGGGAUCAGGAUUCUGGUACUAAGUGCCCAGCCCUACGAGCACCUAUACUAGAAGCAAAGAGCGAAAGUCCUGUGGCUAAGAGAAGGAGACCUAAAUACUCGAUUUUUCCAUCAAAGGGCUUGUAAUCGGCGGCAGAGGAAUCAGAUUAAGGGUUUGUAUGAUAAUAAUGGAGUGUGGUGUACUGAGGAUAAUGAUUUAGAGCGGAUUGUGUUGGAGUACUUCGGCGAGUUGUUUCAAUCCAUUUGUCCUUCAAAUUUCGAUGUUUUCACUGAUCUCUUCUCGGCGGUAGUUACCCAUGAUAUGAAUGCAGUUUUGACUAGAGAGUUUGAGACAGCGAAGGUUUUCCAGACCCUCAAGCAGAUGCAACCUCUUAAAGCGUCAGGUCCGGAUGGUUUUGCCCCAUAUGUCUAUCAAAAGUUUUGGUCUUUGGUCGGCGAAGGUGUCACUCGGGCGGUGAGGUGUUUUAUGGACUCAGAAAGUCUUAUGAGGCAGGUCAAUUGUACGAAUGUCACGUUAAUUUCAAAAGUGAAAACUUUGGAGAACAUGCAACAGUUGAGGCCGAUAAGCUUGUGUCAUGUGAUUUAUAAGCUUGGUUCAAAAGUUCUUGCUAAUAGACUAAAGGGUCUGCUUCGUGAUAUCAUUUCUCCAAACCAAUGUGUUUUUGUCCCAGGUCGACAAAUUUCAGAUAAUUCUCUUCUGGCUUUUGAGAUAUCUCAUUUCCUCAAGAGGUGCUUUGGAGGUGGGCAGGGUUAUGGUGCUUUGAAGCUAGACAUGAGUAAAGCUUAUGAUAGGGUGGAAUGGCCUUUCUUGGAGGCAAUGAUGGUAAGUAUGGGUUUUAAUCGAAAAUGGGUAGAGUGGAUCAUGGCUUGUGUGAAGACAAUCUCUUAUUCAUUCAUAUUAAAUAGAGAGCCUAGAGGAAAGUUGCUGCCAAAUAGGGGACUCAGACAAGGGGAUUCAAUAUCACCCUACCUGUUUUUGUUGUGUACCGAAGGGCUUUCAAGGUUGUUGAGGAAAGCUGAAGUGGAGGAUCGCAUUCAUGGGGUGUCAGUUGCUACAUGUGCUCCUCCAAUUACACAUUUGUUUUUUGCUGAUGAUUCUUUCAUUUUUAUGAGAGCUAGCUUGGAGGAGUGUGAGCAGGUUAAUUAAUAGAGUCUUGGAGGUAUAUGAGAAAGCAUCGGGACAAUGUGUGAGCUUUGAUAAAAGUAGUAUAUGUUUUUCAAGAAAUGUGAACCGAGAUACUCAAGAGAGCUUAGCAGAUGUGUUGGGGGUUAGAAGAGUUGAUAGGCAUGAUAAGUACCUCGGUCUUCCAACAGAGGUUAGCUACUCUAAAUCUGAAGCUUUUCAGUUCAUUUUGGAGAAAACAAAAAAUAAGAUGAAAAGUUGGAAAGACAAGACUCUGAGUAUGGCUGGGAAGGAAGUGAUGAUUAAGGCUAUUGUUCAAUCGGUUCCGUCAUAUGUUAUGAGUUGCUUUGAGUUACCAAAGCAUAUGUGUAUGGAGAUGCAUCGUUUCAUGGCGGAGUUUUGGUGGGGGGAUACAGAGCGGGGUAGGAAGAUUCAUUGGAUGGCUUGGGAUAAAUUGUGUGUGCCGAAGGAUGAGGGUGGUCUUGGUUUCUGAAAUAUGUGGCAAUUCCAUCAGGUUUUGUUGGCAAAGCAGGGGUGGAGGAUUUUGAAGGAACCUAACUCUCUACUUGCUAGAGUCCUUAAAGCAAAAUAUUACCCUAAUUCAAAUUUUUUGAAAGCAAGUGUGAAGCCAGGAGACUCUUAUGCUUGGAAGAGCCUCAUGAAGGGUAAGCAAGUUCUAGUUAAUGGUUCGCGGUAUUUGGUGGUUUCUGGAACCUCUAUUUCGGUUUGGAAUGAUCCAUGGUUGCCGAGACUGUACACCUUUAAACCUUGUUUGCCAGUUAUGGAGGGAUUAGAGGAUCUGGUGGUGGCAGACCUCAUCGAUGAGGAUUCUCGGAGCUGGUCUCUGGAGUGGCUAGAAGAAUUUAUUACCCGUGAAGAGGUGGAUAUGACACGACGGAUACCUUUCAGUGCAAGAAGGGGGCAGAUGUGUUAAUAUGACAUUAUGAUAAGAGAGGAUAGUAUUCAGUGAAGAGUGGGUAUAAGGUAGCAAGAAGCAUGGAAAGUUUGGGGGUACAAGCCUCAUCUUCGUCUGGCCAUACUGCAACUCUCGGGUUGUGGAGGAGGGUGUGGAAGGCUAAUGUACAACCUAAAGUCUGAGCUUUUGCAUGGAGAUUACUCAAACAAAUUCUUCCUACAGAAGAAGCGUUAUCAAGGAGAAGGGUUUCGGUGGGUGAUGGUUUUUGUCUUUUCUGCAUGGGAGAACCUGAGACUAGUAUUCAUCUAUUCAAGGAAUGUAAGGUGAUUGCAUGCAUGUGGAUACACUCACCAAUUGGGUUGCGUGCUCAUAACCAUGAAGCUUCAAAUUUGUGGGAGUGGUUGGAAGGAAUGGUGCACAUACUGAAUAAGGAAGAGGUUGAUAUGUUGUUUAUGUUUUUGUGGGCCAUUUGGGAGGAGAGAAACAGGUUGUUAUGGAAUGGAGGAAGCUUUAAUCCUAGGCAUGUGGCAAUGUGGUCUAUGAAACUUCUCCAAGAGUACCAAUUUUGGCACCCACUAAGUGGGAACUGGAAGCUGCGGUCUAGAUCACAAAAAUGGGUGGCUCCUCCUUCUGGAAGGCUUAAGCUAAAUUGUGAUGGGGCUUAUAAUAUCAAUACCGGGUGUGGAGGUGUUGGUAUGAUUAUUAGAGGAGUGGGUGGUACAUUUGUGGCAGCAUGGUCAAAGCAUUUCAGUCAUCUCCGCUCUGCUCUUCAUAGUGAAGUUGAGGCAUGUAGAGCUAGCCUGCAAAUAGCUAUCGACCAAGGUUGGAGGAAUAUAGAGAUGGAGAGUGACUCGGUGGCUAUUGUCACUGCGUUGAAUAAUAGGGAAUUUCUUCCCUAUGAGGUGAGUCGAAUUUUAGAAGAUUGCAUUGUUAUGAUUCAAAGUUUUGAGUUCUUUAGAAUUUGGCAUAUCCACCGCAAAGCAAAUGGUGUGGCAGAUCGGUUAGCGCACUUUGUUAGUAGAGGUCAUGUUGUUGACCUUAUGGUAAAUGAGGCCCCUGACUUUAUACAGGAUGUCCUCUUCAUAGAUUCAUGUAAUGGUAGUUCUACUCAGGGUGUAGGUAUUAUGUCCCCCCUGAUCAGUGGCGGAGCCAUGAAUUCUUUUUGGGGNNNNNNNNNNNNNNNNNNNNAUUUUUAUAUUAAUUAUGAUUUUUUUAUUAUAUAAAAAGGAGAUCAUCACGUGUGUGGGUGUGGGGGUGGGGGGGGGGGAACGUGGGAGCCUAGAGGUGUGUACUCCUUGGUUGGUCUGACACUCAGAAAAGGGGGUUCAACCUUUCUAUAUACAUAUAAUUAUAAUUAUUUGAUUAAAAACAUAUUUAUUUUGACUGAAUCUAUGGGAGACCUGGCAGGGGUCCGGACCCCACCAGGCCUGAGUAUACCUCCGCCCCUGCCUCUGAUAGAGCAAAGUAUUAUCAAUAAUAAUGUGGGCGUGGGGAUGAGCCUCUCAGUAUAACUGGGUUCCAAACCCCGCUUUUCUUAAAAAAAACAAAAACAAUAAGUUCAAUUUUAAUUAACAUAUAAUUUUGACAGACAAUUUAAAAUUUUAUAUAUCUUUUUCGUAUUUUAUAUUUCGGUCCCCUAGACUUACAUGGCUCCGCCCCUGCAGUUGGAAAAUAGAGAUUUCAAACAGUGUUAAACAGCGACAAACGUGACCCGUGGAUCAUUCUUAUACCAAUAUUGUCCCAACUUAACUACCUUUAAGGUGUUGAGUUUUAAUCACAAAAAGUCUCGAUACAAUUGAAUAAGAUCCAUCCACUUAUAAGUUAUAUUUUAUUUGUCACUUUUCUGAUAUGAGAUAUAUUCCUCUCUAAUACUUCCAACAAACAUGGAUACUAUCAUUUUACUAAUCUUUCACCUCGUUAUCCUUUUCACAGGAACCGAUCGAUGUGGGGUUUUCAAUGUCAAUGCCAUGUUACACUAUGCAGCAUACAUAAAUAUAUUUCCAAUUUGGGCUCUUGCAGUCCCUCCCUCUCUGUAGAUGUACAUGUUUGUAAAACACUAAUUUAUACUCUUUUUUUUUUCGUAAUGAUAGUAUUCGAACAGAAGGAAUUGCUAUAGUUGAGAUAUUAUUAUGUACUAGUGUUGUUUUCCCGGGAGGUGAGUCUCCUCGAUCGAAUGAAAGAAUUCAGCUAUAUUGAAGUUGCUUCUACUCCUUGAAUUUUGAACCCCAAGUCAUCCAUGACAAGGAGGACUGAGGCUCAGAUAGUCUGAUGUGUGGAACAACAACCAGGUUCGAUUCCCUGCUUAUCAUUGCACUUGGAGCUUGGAGAUCCUCUUAAUCUUCUAGGCAGGGAAGAUACAUGUGUGGAUAUACAAUACUUGUGUGUGUGUUCAUUACUUCAUUACAUGUAUCACGUAUAUUAUGUAGCAACUCCAUCUUAGAUUGGUUAUAUCAGAGAUGAAGAAACCAAACCAGAAGUUGUUGAGCAAUCCGGAUCUGUACACAGUUACAUUCGCGACAAUAAUGACAGAAGUGAAUAAUCGACAGAAUCGUAAUUGACAAAAUGAAAGGAGGUGCAAAUGAAGCAGAGGGAAUACAUGCAAGCGAAAAGAAAACGAAUAGGUUAUUCUCUCUAAAUCCUUGAUUUUGCUUCUUAUGACUCAAGGUUGGAAUCCUUUUGGUGAGGCAACUGCUGCAGAGUACGUACGGUACUCUCCAAGAGCCCACAAUGGGAAAACAUUCCUAUAUGCUCCAUAGUGUAACAUGCCAUUCCUCAUGAAAACUCCCAUCAGUUCCUGCAAACCAUACCAAAACUAAUCAUCAGUACAUGUCACCAUAAACAUAUAAAAUCAUAAUAUAGGUAGUAUUGUUGUGAAAGAAGUUCAUGUCAUUUUUCUUUGAUGGGAAAUUAGUUCUUAGCUACCUGUUGGGGGAAAUCACCAUCAUCCAACUGACCGUUCAUCAAGACCCUUGCAGCACGGUGUAUAGGUGUUGGAUCUCUCUCAGCCUGUUACAUAUAGAAAAAAAGUACCUAUUGUAGAAUCAAUUGACAGAAGAGGUUAACUGUAAGAUGAUUACAGCAUGUAUGUACUGACCUGCCGACCGUGAAUUAGACCCAUCAAUCCAAAGGCAGUUUGCACCAAAUUUGUGCUGUCUUGAGCUGUGUAUUUCUGUAUGAAGCACAAAGAAGAAACAUAAUGCCAUUGGUUGUUAUUCAUGAAGCUAGAGAAACAAGAGACAACCUAUCUCAAGGUUUAUUCUUAGUUAAAAGCAUAGUAGCAGAAGAAUAGUACCUUGUUCGGGCAUGAUGUGUAGUGCUCUCCCCAACCACCAUCUUCCCUUUGUGUUUUGAGCAAAAAGUUAAUACCUUUGCGAAUUGCCUCACAAUUGUUGUAGGUUCUUCCUGCUGCCUCUAACCCUUUAAUUGCAAACCAGGUUCCAUAGAGAAAGCAGAUACCCCAGCAUCCAUACCAUGAGCCAUCAGCGUACUGUGUGAUUUCAAUGUAGUCUGCAGCCCUUGUGAUGAAGUUUCUGAUCUCUUUCCUUCUGUAACCAGGAAACAACUUCCUAAACAAAACUAAGGCCUGAAUCGAAGAUGAAGAGCACUCGAUGUAAUCAUAUUCAAUUACAAGGUCCUCACAAAAUUCCACAGGGUUGAGCCACUGGAAAGGGAAAAUCAAUGAAAAUAGAACAUGUUAUAUAUGAUACUUGGAUGAUCAAAAGUUCAAAACAUUAAAAUUUUCUGUGCAAGAAUUUCAGUAUAUAUUUACCUCCAACCAUUUAGGAGCUCCAGUUGGCUCCCAGGCUGACACACCACCAUUUGGACUCUGUAGUGACAUUAUGACAUUGACAGCAUCAUACAUACACUCGGCUUCCAUUGGCUCACCAACAUGAUCUGGUGACAUCAUCGCGAACAAACAGCAGCACUGAAACAACGAUAUUAUUAUUAGGUCAGCUAGCACCAUUGUCAUUCUAGAUGAGGCUCUCAACUUUGUACUUGAGUUGCUGCAAUAUUCUUAAAUACGUAAGCUCAUUACCCUCAAUGCUUCUGCAGUGCAAUCUGAAACUUGCCACCCAUUAUCCCGAUCAGAGAAAGUCCAGGAUCCUUUGGAAAUGUGACGAAAAUGAGCUUGGUAGUCAUCAGAUGGAUUAAUCCUCACCUACAGUGUCACAUAGAGAAUUGAUUAAAGUAGACACACCAUUGAUUAAAACGAAGAAAUUUCUUUAGAGGUUAAAUAUGAUACCUGGGAUAUCUUUAGGAAGUCAUGUGCUUUUUUAAGUACAGGUCCAAAUUCAUUGAGGAGAUUCCCUGCAAGCAAAGCUUGAAUUCCAAAAGAACAAUCCCAUGUCUGGCUACCACAACUCUGCAUCUUCAUUCCAUCUUCACCAAGCCAAAUAUAAUCAUCAAGUCUAGCAAGAUGCUUCUUAAAGGCUUCACCGCUAGGAUCCUCGGCCCAACAAGCAAGCAUCAUCAAUGGCUGUCCAAAUCAAAUGGCAUUCAUAAUCAUUAAAUCAUUAGAAUUAACCAGCAGGAAAUAUAUUACCUAAGACUAGGAUUUCACCUUUUGGACGCAUCCAAUGGUAAUGUAGUGACUGUUCUCAUCUUCAUACUUCAUUUGGUCAAUGGUAAAUUGAACAGCAUUGUCUCUGAUCUUCUUAAAGGGCCACAAAGCAAGAAUAGGUUCAGCAACAUGGUAAAGAGUGUCCCACAUAAAACGUUGUACCUUUCCGCGAGGAGAGUAGUUAUCUUCCUGCAUUAAUCAAGAAUGUAUAGUCAGUUUAAGCUUGCAUAAUGUGUAUAUGAACGAAGUCACCAAAACAUAAACUCGCCUUCGCACAAUGAUGGCGAACUUUGCUCCACUUAAUCUCACUGUAAGGUUCACAGUAAAUUUCUUCUCUCAACUGUUCAACGAGAGAAGUGAUAGGGCCAACAAAUUUUGUUGCAUAAAAGUAGGACAUGGGUAGGUAAGUUAACCUGCAGAAGCACCACAUCUUUGCUGCAAGUGAGUGAUACAAGUUAGAAAUAGAAAGUACUCAAUAAAACAUAGCAAAAAACUAAUUAUAAUUGCUUUUACAUGGAUGAAAAGGAAUUAGAGUGGAGAAAGUCCAAAAUUCCGGGGGCAUAGGGUUGCUUCCUUCGCAAUCAUAAACACCAAGCAUCUGUAACACAAUACAUAAAUUAAUUAACUCAGCAACUUUGUACAAUGCAAUGCUAUCAUGAUACCAAUCCAGCAUAAAAGCUUUCUGAGUAAUUCAUACCGCCAUCCAGGUCUUUCCCCAUGAAGCGGAAUACAGGGCGCCACCGCGGUCAAGGAUCCAUUUCCGGGCCCUUGCACAGGCAUUGUCACGACCACCCUCGGGGCCUUCUCCAAGAAUACGCAUCAUACAAUAGUUGAGACAUGUGGUGAACAUCAUACUAGGCCCUGAUAUGUGCAAUCCCCAGCCACCAUCUUCAUUCUGAUGGUUGUAUGUGUAGCGCAAGAUCUCCUUCUUGUGCUCAGCAGAGAAAACAACAUUGAGAUAUCCUGUCAAGUGUAAACUCAUAACCUGUAUAUGAAGAACAAGUAUCACAAUUAGUCAUCUGUGAAAUGAACUUCUUAUUGACGUACUGUGGUAACUUCUUUUGACAAGCUUACCAUGGGAGGAAUGUAAAAGUUUGGGCCACUAUUCUCAGCAGGCCAGUGACCAUGGGGUGACUGCAAGGCAUUCCAAAAGGUAGCAGCCCUCCUGUAUGCAGCUGUGGCCUGAUCAAAUGUGAUUUCAGCACCUUCCCCUAUUCUCACUGGAGGAAUUUCUUGCCUGAAGUUUUUCUCUCUUAGCAUCUGCAAUUGGGUAAAACAAAAUAUAGUUAGAAGCUAGUACUUUCUAUUUUCGCUCAUUAUAAGGUAUCAUAUAUAGAAGUGUUUAGUUUGGAAAUUUAGAACACUUUUUUACCUGAAAACGCCAAAGGCGAUCACUACUAGGCUGGAUCUUGAACCGAUUCUGGUAGUAAUUCUCACGAGCGGCUUCAACCUCUGCUCGCUCUUCUGGUGUGCCUGCAUUUGGGUCGAAUUUCCAUGUCUGCCUCCCAUGAAAGUUGUUUGUGCUAAAUAAACAAGGGUCAUUUGCACCCUCCCCAAACUGAAUGCUCCACAUCUUAUAAUUGCUACGAACAAAUUAAUCACUCUUUUCCUACUCCAUAUAUAUAUAUAUGAAUGAUGCACUCUUAAAAUGAAUAGAUACAAACAUACCAGAGUAGAAGUACACAACUGUCUGAGUAUGGUGUCGAGUGUCGACUACAUUGUUAAACAAUGGUAGGACAUGGGGACUACUGUUCAAUUAAGCCAUGAAAUAUCUGAUCCUACAUGAUUAAGUAGGUUGGGAACCGCAAGCCAACUUUGCCACAUGAAAUAUCUGAUCCUGUACAUGAAAUAUCUCACUUUGUUUACAUGUUUACAUCAAUUAUAAGUUUAUAAAUAUUUGUUAAUGCAGGUAAUCUCUACCGACAUGCCACGAGAUAUUAUGAAACUUGUUUUUUCCGAUGGACUACUAUGAAACAUGUUGGAAACGGAUUCUAUUCACCUUCGGUGUAUGUGCUCUGACGCGCGUGUAGUACACAUGCCAACUAGAACUCCCUUUCAACAAGGAUGGUAAAGAGGAAAAACGAAAGUGUUAGUAAAGAAAAGUCAAAAGAGCGAUGAAGAGAGGAGACAACAUUGGAUAACAACAAGCGGGAAGCCGAAGAAGCCGUCAAACCCCACAACAGAAGACAUUCAACACAAUUCCAUCUUCAACAUUUGCUUCACCCUUUCAUCUUUCGAUUUAAAGAUUCAUCCUUUUUUGUUGUUUUCGUACCCAAACCACUCCUCUUUCAGAAUCUAAGACAAAAAUAAAUCAAAUCCAUCUUGAAUUAUAUUUAGCUGUCAAUAUUUUGACUUUCAUUACUUUCUUGAUUCCCAAUCUUCUUCCCAACAACAAGGAAGAAGAUCCUUCUUUCGUUCUGACCUGCAGGUUAGCUUCUCAUUUCAAUGGCGAUUUGUCUGUUUGGUUAUCUUUGAAUGUUUGUUCGAGCAAUUUGGGGUUGAUUGGAUCUGUUUAUGUUAUUAUUUGGUGAACUGGGUUUUCAUUUUCUUGUCUUUUUGGAUUUACUUGUUGGUACCCACAUUGCAAACGAUUAAACUUUUCAAAUUUCAUAUGAAAGAAAUGAAGUCAUGAACUUCCCUCUUAAGAAAGGAUAUCAGGUGAGCCUGAAUAUACACUGUAAGUUGCAUUUGAAAUUCAGAGACCUGUUUAGAGAAGAUCAGAGUAAUUGGCUGGUUUUUUUGAUUCAGAAAAUUUGAUGUUGAUGAAUGAAUAGGGUUUCAUUUUCCAAAGUAAUGGCAGUAUGAUCAAAUGAGUAAUUUAGCUCAAAACUUUAUUAUUGGUAUCAGAUACACUAAUUCUCAGUAUCUAAUUAGUGUUUAGUUGUUUCGUCCAUUCGGAUACUAUCUGCAAUAUCUCACCACUAUCAGGGGUUUGGAUGUUAGUAGUGGCUACAAGCCUACAAGUUCUACAUGGCCCUUGAAUAAGUGACUAAAAAUAUGUAACUUUUUUGUUAGGUGUUUUGUGAGAAUGUAUCAUUUAUGAUAUGAGUAUAUCUGUACAUGGCACUCAGAAUUUUCUUUGUGAUUCUAGUUAGGUGAAGAAUUCUUGUUGUCGUAGAUGGGAGAUGGAAGCCAGGAAUACACUGUCGAUGACGCUCUUGUCUCCAUGGGGUUUGGAAAGUUCCAACUUCUUGUGCUUGCUUAUGCCGGCAUGGGUUGGAUCUCAGAAGCAAUGGAGAUGAUGCUACUUUCGUUUGUAGGACCAGCAGUUCAGUCUGCUUGGGGUCUUUCUUCCAAACAAGAAAGUUUCAUAACCAGUGUGGUGUUUACUGGAAUGCUGGUUGGAGCAUACACAUGGGGCAUUGUCUCAGAUAACUACGGACGCAGGUGGGCACUCUUCUUUUUUCUAACAAGUUUUCUGUUUUGUUUAUUUAGCAGUGUUGAAUAGUUUUUGGAUCCAUGUGUGCUAUGUUGGUGGGAAAAGUGGUGCCUUUGUAAUACCUAAUAUGAUUCUAUAAACAACUUUUUAUUGACUAUUUACAAUUCUGCGACAUGGAUCCAACUAUUGUUUGAAUGCCUAGCAUGUUUCCCUUUACCACCAAGUUUUAAUUAUAACUACAAAUCUAGAUUAAUCGCAAACAAUGAUAUAAGUAUUCCCUGUGGUGGUUGGUGACUCAGGGAGUGAUAUGGGCUUUUGUUAUAUUCACUUGUAAGUUGUAGAAAUUUAAUGAAAAAUGUAAGACUAGAUUUUGUGAAAGUUAAAGACUCAAUGCUUAAUUAGAAGCUGAGAUCUUCAAAAAUACAACUAUAAAUCUCUUAAAAGUUUACCAGAACUGUUGAUAUUUUGCUAGUACUGAUCCAUACUCCUUGCCUUUGAUAUAUGUACUGUCUCCAAGACACUUCUGCUCUUCUAGUGUUGCUGUCCUGCAUCCUAACUCUUUCCCUGUUGUACUAUGAUUGCUUGCUACUAAACAACUCCACUGGUUCUUUUGUUUGUUUCUUCAGGAAAGGAUUCCUCAUUACAGCCACGAUUACAUCUGGUGCUGGUUUUCUAAGUGCUUUUUCCCCUAAUUAUACAUCCUUGCUCAUUCUGCGUUGUUUGGUUGGUGUUGGCUUGGGAGGUGGUCCAGUACUGUCAUCCUGGUUUCUGGAGUUCAUUCCUGCUCCUAGCAGAGGCACCUGGAUGGUUGUCUUUUCAGCUUUCUGGACUGUUGGAACAAUUCUUGAGGCUUCACUUGCAUGGGUAUGCUUUUGACUACAUUAUUUGAUAGUUGAGCAUUUACACCAAUUCUACUACAUUCUGUUUUAAUUUUUAAUUUUUUAAUUUCAAAUCUGAUACUGAAUUUCUUGCACAAGGGACCCAGUCUGGCUCUCUGAUGACAGUAUUGUGCUUUUCCUAAUUAAUCAUUAUAUAGCCAGCAGAAAAUUUAUUUGAAAGGAAAAAGAAAAAUUUCAUGUGAAUGUAUCAAAAUCAUGACUGAAAAAAGAAAAGCAAUAAUGAGAAAAAACUUUGGAAGAAGUUAUACUAUAAAGUAGUUGUGCGUUCUAUCUUCUGUGGUCGUUCCACAAAUUUUCAUCAGGUAGCAUAUUUCUUAUUUCGUUUUGGUCAUUUGGUGAAUAGCGAGUUGAGUAAAAACUUGUUAAGUAGAUCCUUUCCUUAGAUUCAGAUAUAUAGCUAAAAUGCAGAUAAUUCUGGUGUUCUUCUUGGGGUUGUAAGCCUGGCAUGUGUGGCAAGAGUAUAACAUUGAUCUUCCUCAUAAAACAGAUAAAGAAUAAUACAACACUGAUUUCUUCACAUCUUGUUUUCUGUUCUUUGCAGUUUGUCAUGCCAACACUGGGUUGGAGGUGGCUACUUGCACUCUCUGCACUCCCUUCUUCACUUCUUCUUAUAUUCUAUUGGGUAGCACCUGAAUCACCAAGGUAUUUAUGCUUAAAAGGUAGAACAACUGAGGCAAUCACUAUUUUGGAGAAAGUAGCAAGACUGAAUGGAUCAAAACUCCCUUCUGGAAUUCUUGUUUCAGAUUUAACAGUAGAGUUAUCUGAAAAGAGUACUCCUUCGGAAGAUACAAGUUUAAUCUCUCCAAGGACAAAUGAAGAUGCGAGUCCCAAGGAGAUGGAUUCUAAUAUGGGGGGCAUCUCUUCACUGUUAAUGCUUCUCUCCCCAAACUUAGUCAGGUCUACCUUGCUAUUAUGGGUAGUAUUUUUUGGGAAUGCUUUUUCAUAUUAUGGCCUGGUGCUUCUGACGUCUGAGUUGAAUGGACAUAGCCAAUGUGUGCCAACUGAAGUAAAGUCAGUCGCGUCUCAGGAUAUCAACUACAGAAAUAUUUUCAUUGCUAGUUUUGCAGGUAAAUCUAUAUACUAAUUUCAGUAUUGAAAAUUAUUUGAGUAUGCAGAAAUAAAUGGUCUCUCACUGCCACAAGAUGGUUGACUGACAUUUAAAUUUGGGUUGGAAUGAAGAGUUACCAGGGCUGAUCAUAUCUGCUGCCACGGUGGACAGACUGGGUCGUAAGCUUUCGAUGUCAGGCAUGUUCUUCCUGUGCUGCCUUUUUCUACUACCAUUGGUAGUCCAUCAGCCUGAGGGCUUGACCACUGCCCUUCUGUUUGGAGCUCGUAUAUGCAUCACAGCUACCUUCACGAUAGUCUACAUAUAUGCUCCUGAGGUAAAUUGUGAAAAUAUUUAUCAUCUUUUUUCUUACAACGCAAUACACACAAAAAAAAUAAUAAAAAGCAUCUCAAAAAACCCUGCAACUAAGAAAAUGGGUUUGGAAAGACCUUAUCCAUGAAAAUGGUUUAGAAUUGCUACCAACUACAAAGUAUUAAAUAUUAAUCUCCAUAUCUUUUGUUUGAACUUUUGUAUGUACUGUAGAUAUACCCAACGUCAGUCCGAACAACUGGUGUUGGAGUUGGAAGCGCAAUGGGAAGAAUCGGUGGAAUGAUAUGUCCUCUUGUGGCUGUAGCUUUGGUACACGGGUGUCAUCAAACAGCAUCCAUUCUGCUGUUUGAGGUUGUAAUUCUUCUUUCAGGAAUAUGUGUAAUGCUUUUCCCAUUUGAAACCAAGGGCCGGGAACUGAGUGAUAGUGUAUCAUCUAGCUCAAAGCCGAUGAAUGCUUUAAUAUGAAACUCAAUACUGCAGGACACCAUCAUUUGUUAAACUUGAAAAGGCAGAAACAAUUAGGCAGGGAUUCGUUUUUCCAUUUGUAAAAAGCAUAGUAUGGAAACGGAUUUCCCCAACAUACAAUAGAACAUUGAACAUAUCUGUUGAGAACUGUUACUGGACUGCAGAUAAGUCCAGAUUUUCUAUGAACCUUUGAGUGCAUGUGUAUCAUUGUAUCUAUAGAAGUGGUUUUGCUCAAUGAUGAUUUUGAUAGAAGCAGUUUUGUGUGAAGUACGUAGCAAAUUAGGCCCUAAAAGCUUGGGGGAGCUUUCUAAGGCCAAUUUGGACAAGAAACUAUGAAGCACAGACCUAUGAGAUGGUUCAAACCUAGUACUGGGUCUUCCCUUGGCAAUUAUGUGCAUGAUACUAAAACAAUGCCAAGAAGAAAGGUUUUGGUCCCCUCCCUUGAGGAAUUGAAUUGUCCUAUUUCCAAAUCUCUGGCAACUUAUUAAAGGUUGCAGAGGUUGUUAACGGAUUAUUGGCUUAUUGGGUGCCAUGGUUUUUAAUGUAGAUCAAUGUCUGCAUUCAGACCCUUAGGGGUGAGGCAGUACUGUUCGUAGACUUUAGAAUUGGGUCUUUCAUCCUGAUUCACUUAUAACUACAAACUAAGAUCUACCGCUAUCUAUUUCCGAACAAUUCAGGCAUUUCCUCUACACUACAAAUUAAACUUUAUAGUGUAUUAAUGUAUGGAUACAUAUAAGUUCUACAUGGUAAAUGAAGGGAUCACUUAAGUUUUUUUUUUUUUUCCUUAAUUUUUUUUUUCUAGCUGACCAGUUUGAUCCAUGAUUUGAACUCUGAGCCAAAAAGGACCCCUGACCCACACGUGCACACUGCAGCAGCAGAUACUAGAAGUACUGUUACAGACCCAAAAAGUAACCAGAAGACCCAGAACCAGGUAACUUUCCCAAUUUAAUUUUGUCAAAUUCUGAUGAACAAAAACCCCCCAGAAGAGGUAAAUGUCACUCUCAGUUAUCAGUAGUAACAACUAACAACUACUAACAUGUGCAUAUUUCUCUUUCUGGGUACCUCCUGUUCUCUUGGCUUCCACUGCAAAUCUUUACCAUUUUCAUGACUACCAAAUAAAAAACCCGAAGUUUUCUCAUUUAUUAUUUUUCUGCCAAAUGAAGAAACUUUAAAUAUAAAGCUGCACGUUACAGGUACGAAGUAAAUAAAUCGUCAAUAUAAAUAUAAAUAUUAUUAUUAGUAUUAUUUUUGUUAUAAAAGAGUGAGAUAUAUAUAAGCUUAGGAAAAAAAAAAAAAAACACAUAUAUAGGUAGAUACUGUGUGUGCUUGCUUAGAUUCUCUGUGUGGGUGCCUCUUUGAAAAUUGAAGAUCUUACUACUUCAGAUUCAUGGCGGCAAACCAACCGCAGGGUACAGAUCGUACAUCUGGUACGUCAAUACCCACAGCAAACCCCAUAUCAUAUUUACUUUUGUUCUUCUCAUUCUCUUCUUGCUUUUUCUGGGUGCUUUGAAUUUUUUACCCAGAAGGGGUUUUUUGUUUUUGUUCUGUUCUGAUGUGAUUUGUUGGCCAAGUCGGUGAAUUGGAUUCGUUAAAGUUUUGGGUUUCGUUUUGUGAUGAGAGUAGAUGAACAAGUUUGUAACUUUAUUGGAGAAUUGGGCUUUGUGACUUUAUCUUGAUCUGGGUUGCUGUUAGAGUGAGGUGGCUGUGUGGAAUUGGAGAUCUAGAAUCUGGGUAUUGCUGCAAGUUUUGAUUUUUCUUAUGUUUUCGAUGUAUGUGGGUUUGAUGAAGACUGAAGUUUUUGGUGAAUAUGUGUGACUGGUUUCGAUGGUUAUGUGUGAUUCUAAGGAAUGAUUUCAGUAGUUUAGACUGGACUAGAUUAUGUAGUUGAUGGUAAUGUCAUGUGUGAGUUACUUGUGGAUUCUGAUUGUGUGAUUUGAGUUGCCCUUAUUAGAUGUUGCACCCCGUGAGUGUCAGAUUUUCUGAACUCGAAGUAUAGGGUGAUAGAGCACAAGGCUUUUGCUAAGUGUACUACAUUAGUCGGUCUCUCAUUGUCGCGAUCUUUGCUAUUUGGGGUUAGCUAAUAGCUUUCUACAUGAUUCUUAGAAAUGGACAGCACGGUCCAUUGUGUAACCAUGAAUUGUUCUUGUUGCAAUGACUGUUGUUGUUCAUAGUUUGAGAGGUCAAGGUCAUAUCGGUGGCAGGUUUGCCCAAUUUGAGAUCUUAUAUCUAUCAGGACCUUUUGGUAACAAGUCGUAUUGCUAAUUAGUGGCUAGCUAACAAUUUUCGAGUGCUUUCAAAAGAUUUUUUUUUUCAAAAGUGUUUCAAAAUCUGUUGACAUGACUAUGUAAUAUAUUCAUGUACUUCUAUUUAUCAUGGGUGCAUAGGUUUGCACGUGUGGAUAUGUGCGCACAUAUUCAUAGUUUCAAGUUUUCGUAUCCCCAAAUUUUGCUUUGGCUGGUCAAUAAUUUGUACUCCCUGUGUUUCUAAGACUCUUCUAAGUCACUGAGCAUACUGAUCAUGGAUGCAGAAGAGAAACCUGCUGAACCUGAUACCAUGAAGGAGCAGGUAGUUCUGACGCCACUAAAAUGCUCUUCUGAUCCAUUGCAUUUACUGUAUAAUUUUAAAUUUUAGUCUUGUUACUUUUCUCCUCUUUUGCAUGACAACCUUUUUCAAUUUAUAUGUUAUCAGACUCUUGUAGCAAAAAAUGAGAGGUCAAUUUCUCCUAAUCCUUCUCAGGAUGCUGGCCCAAUAGGUCAUCCAAGGGAAGCAGCAGCUCAACCGGGUUCUUUCGAUCACACUGUUUUUCCACCUAAUGUGUAUUCCCCUCAAGCACAGCAGACCUUCUACUAUAGAGGUUAGUCUUAAACUCUAAUAGUUCUGUGGAUCAAGUCUUAACAUACGGUGAUUCAGCACCGUAGGGAGAAUCUAUAUCCCUUUGUGUUUCAGCUCGGUAAUCCAAUCGGGAUCUUUGUAUUUCAUUUGGGAGGUUGAAUAAAUUUCAGAUUUUGUAGCAAACUUAUUAUUGUUUAGUGGCUAUGUUAACUUAAGUUGUUUUAAGGAGGCAACGGUAAUUUAUGACAUGAGUCUUAUAAGAUUAAAUUCUUGGUGCAGUCCUUUUAGUUGUUGCUUGUUAUUGUCACGUAUAGAAAGCGACUUACAUACAUUUCUCUCUCAUGUGUGAUACAGGUUAUGAAAAUGGAACUGGUGAGUGGGACGAGUAUCCUCCAUACCUCAAUUCGGAAGGUUUGGAGAUUACUUCUCCUGUGAGUGCAUUUAUAUUCUGGAUUCCCGUUCACAUAUAAAUGUUUUGCUUUCUUUGGUUUACUUAGUAAUGCUCUUCAAUACUUCAUCUGGAUUAGGGUGUCUACAAUGAGAAUCAUCCAUCCCUUGUCUAUCAUUCUGGGUAUAGCUACAAUCCGCAAAUGCCAUAUGGGCCCUACUCUCCGGUCACAACACCUAUGCCUUCUGGAGGUGGAGAUGGACAGUUAUAUUCCCCCCAGCAAUUUCCAUUUUCAGGACCACCUUAUUAUCAGCAGCUAGGACCUCAUAGUAUGCCAUACAUUACUUCACCAACUCCAGUUUCACAGCCAGAUCUCACCACUUUAGUUAGUAUUGAUCAACAAGGUGACAGCAUGCUUUUUGGACCAAGACCUGGUUAUUCUCCAGUGGGCUCUUAUGGUAGAGGCAGUUUUCCUGGAAAUCCAGGUAGUUUUGGUUAUCAUGAUAUGCAGCAAGGGUUUGAUGGAUUGAGAUCCGGAGGACUUUGGUCUGACUGGUCAAAACCCUCGGACAGGCAGAGGUCAUAUACUCCCUUGUCGCCAGCAGUAUCUCCACAGCCAAUUGGCCCACUUGGCUCAUUUGGGCAGAAUGUCGGAAUGGUUUGUUCUUAAUCUCUUAUACUUGUGCAUAUCUUCUAAUGACUUAGUUUCUCAUCAGUUUGUUCUUGUUUGCUAAAGUAUUCUUGGAAGUUAGAACUUGUAUAUUACUGCAGGUGAAAAUUGACACCAUAGGCACUUCUAUUGAAAAACAUGUAUGGAAUUUAUUAAUUACUUAACUUUUGGGGGUUUUGAUAUCAGAUUAUGGAAGUUGAUUGUAUCCUUGUACCUAAUCACCACAAGCAAACUAGCAUGUUGGAUAAAUUGUUAUAGAAUUAGAAAGCUCUGUCAUAGAAUUACAUAAAUUAACUUAUGGUGUAUUAUUUGUUAGGGUAGUUCUAUUGUUUUUUCAUUUUUGGUAGUUCUAUUGUUUAUGGUUUAAUUAUGAUUUAAACCCUAAACCAUAAUUACUAGUAUUUUUCAUUUUCGGUAGUUCUAUUGUUUUUGUCUGCUUUCUGUUUUCCUAUUGGUGACCCAGAUAAAAUGAUUAAAAUCUAUGCAUCUCAUCAUUCUGAUAUUACCAUAAUCUGAAAUUUUGAUUUGUGGUGUUUCUAUUUCUUGAGGGAACUUAUUACAAUAGCAGUACACUUUAUUAGUAAAAUAUUGUAAGCCAUGGCUUAAAGACCAGUUGCGGGAGAAAUUAUUAUUUUUCUUUUUUCUUUGGACCCUAUGAUAUUCAAAUCAGGACCUGAAUUUUUUUUUGAAUUGUAGUAUAAACCCCGAGUACAACUAUAAAUUUACCAAAACUCGGUAGCGAGUGAAAUCUGGAGUUGAAUAACUCUGCGAAUUAACAAUGUUGGAGGUCAGGUCUAUGGUGCACCCUUUAGAUCACUGUCAUCUUCCAUCUUUGGUGUGAUGCAAGUAUUCGACUCUGACUUAUCUUUUAUUAUUGCACUACCUAUGACAAAAAUUGUAACUGAAGUCAUAUCUAAACUUGCUGAAAUUAAUUACUUAUGGACUAUAGUAUUAAUGCUGAACUGUUAAUCAUCUCAGGGUUCUCAACACCAAAGGUCUAUGUAUGGUUUUGGAUCUGGCUCAAACUCUUAUAACAGAGGCUACAUUCCUAGUGGUUUUAAUCAGGGCUCUAGCCUUGGAAGUGGAUCCUUUUCCAGUUUUGGAGCCAACAACCGAGGCUUUCUGUCGUUAGAGAAUAGCAAGCAGCAUGUUAGAGGCACCGGUCCAAUAUGCAGUUGCAAUGCUCCCCUUGAUAUUCUUUGUGAGCAGAACCGAGGACCAAGGGCGUCAAAGCCAAAGGCACAACUCAUUGCUGAUAACUCAGUUGAGAGCACUAAACUAAUUACACCUACAACCAAGGUUCAUGAUGAAACAUACAACCGGCCAGAUUUUGUAACAGAGUACAAAGAUGCUAAGUUCUUUAUCAUCAAAUCUUACAGUGAAGAUAAUGUUCACAAGAGUAUCAAAUACGGUGUCUGGGCUAGCACACCAAAUGGUAACAGAAAGUUAGAUGCUGCAUAUCAUGAAGCUAAGGAGAAGCAUGAUAGCUGCCCAAUUUUUCUCUUGUUUUCGGUACAAAUAUGAUCUUUUUAGGAAUAUUAUUUCCUGGUUUCCUCUUUUCCUUUUCCUUUAACUUUUCACCUUCAUUGCUCACUUUAGCCUCAUAUAAUUAUGAUUCUCAGGUGAAUGCCAGUGCUCAGUUCUGUGGGGUGGCUGAAAUGGUUGGACCUGUUGAUUUUGACAAGAGUGUGGAUUACUGGCAGCAAGACAAAUGGAGUGGGCAGUUCCCUGUCAAGUGGCAUGUAAUUAAGGAUGUCCCAAAUAGUCAGUUCCGUCACAUUGUUCUUGAAAAUAAUGAUAACAAGCCAGUGACUAACAGUCGAGAUACUCAAGAGGUGACAAUUUUUGAAAAAUCCCACCUUUUAUGAUUGAAUUGAUAUAGUAAUUUGCUUGUAGUUCUUAUUUUCAACAAUUAGCCAUCACCCAGUUAAGAUUCAGUUACAUUGUUUGAUUACUAAAUACUUGAAGUGCUUCACUGAGCUGUCUAUUGAAAAGUUGCAAAAUUGGGGAUGCGGAGUCUUUGGCCAUUUAUGGCUAUUAAGUUUAGUGAAUUUUGUAGAUGCUAUCGGUACACAUCUUUCACAAGCUAAUCCCUGGAAUUCUUUACUAAGAUGUAGUGGAGAUGCUCUUUGUCAAAGUGUCUUAAGGUUUUGGAAGCUGAAUUUUCAUUAUGUUUUUAAAUCUCUUCUUUAUUUCUAUAGUCUCUAGUCAUAAAAACCCUAAACCUGUGCAUUUGAUUAGCCUUUGUCCCUUUCUUUACCCUUGUUCUCCUCCCCCCAAGGAGGUAUAUCACCAUGUGAUCCAUUUGAAUCAUUAUGAAUUUUAUGAAAAGCAACUCAUAUUAGAAAUCCUUAAGCACGGUAAUUUUUUUUUGGCAUGUCCAGCUUUGCUCACAACCCUGACAUUGCUCCUACAUGCGCAGGUAAAACUGGAGCAGGGAAUUGAGAUGUUAAAUAUUUUCAAGAAUUUUGAAACAGAAAUGUCCAUUCUAGAUGAUUUUGAUUUUUAUGAAGAUCGUCAGAAGGCAAUGCAAGAGCGGAAGGCCAGACAGCAAGCCAGCCUGGUUACUGUAGGUGUAGUCGGGGAAAAUGAGCAUAGAAGUACCGUUCAAAUUCCCACUGAUCUCAUCAAGCACAUGUCGAAGAGUUUUGCUCAAGUGGUCCGCUUGGAUGAGGGUACUAAAGAAGCUACCGCUGUUUCUGAUGGUCCCAUCGGGACUAGAGUGAAACUUGAAGAUGCAAUUCCAGUGUCCGUCUCCUCUGCUCAGAUCAGUUAGGAAGACGAGAAUGCUUGGAAUGUAUGUGACAGAAACUUCAAUACUAUCAGUUUUUGAUUAACUUGUUAUUAGGUUGCUGAUGUCUCUGUAUUCAUAAAAAGUGCAUCAGUAUCUGAAAGAAGGGCUUUUUACCAGUUUCACGAAGCUGACGACGGGCUUCAUGUAUCAUAUGUGUCCUGGGUGCUUUCGCUUUCAACUGUAGUCAGUAGCUCCAUAAGAUUUGCAUUUUGGGUGGAAAGUAGUUUCUUGAAGAUAUUGGCUCAUGUUUUGGCUAUGUAAAGCUUAUUAUCUUUGCAGGCAGUUUAAUAAUAUGCAGCAAAAAGACCUUAUAAAGGAAAAAAGACCUCCAAUGUUAUGGUUUGUUCUUGACGCUUAAUCAAUUUCAUUUGUAGCAAGGCUAUGCAGACUUCUCUUUGGGAGAACAAUUCUUCCCUAUUUCAUUCCAGAUUUCCAGUCGUGCAUUAGUCGACAAGGGAAGAUGUUUUUCUGUCAUAUCUGAAGGUACAUUUCUCUGGUUUUGGUUCGUUUUAUUCUCUUACUCAGUUACAUGUGAUUUGGAAGAGGAGUUAUGCAUUGUCUCGUUCUGUGCUGUGGAGUCGAUAAGAAAUUUGUUGAUGCAUAUCUUCCUAUCUUAUCCAUGACAGUGAUGUCAAUACAAAUCACAUUUGUGUCUUUAGAGAGCUGACAAUCUGGGUUGUCACAUCAAGGCUGAGGUCUUUUGUGUGGUCAGGGAUUGAUCUUGGGAACUAGUCAGCUACAUGUUCAUAAUACAUAGACUUUAUAAUGUGAUCGAUUAACUAAAUCCCGGAAGUGGUAUUUCCUGUUGAACAAUACAACUCAUGAACCAAAUAGGCGGUUGUGCUACCGACCGGAAGAGCUCACCGGAACCCUAUACCAAGUUCUUUGUUGAACUACUUUAUUACAAAGCCGGGAUCUGAACGUCAUUAUACACAUGAACGAGGCGUUAAUUUUGUAAAUGAUUGACCAGAUACAAAGCUGUUAACUUUAAUGACAUUUAGAUGGCAAGGAAGGAAGAAUGGUAGAUUUACCUUUCAAGACUUUCAGUUUCGUCAUUUGCAAAAUUAUUCCAAUGACCUUGUUAUCUCCUCGUAUCAAAAUACUUUGACAACCUUUUGUGUUCAUCUUGUCAGCAACUGAUUAAAAAACAUACAACUUAUGACCUUAAGAUGUAAAAUGAUUUAUAAAGCCAUACUAUACCCUCAAAUACAAUGGAUGUAAUAGUAAAUCAAUAUUAAUUUACAUUUGAGUUGAGGGUGAUUGAAAAUGAUUUCUUUUGUCUCGUUUUAUGACUUUUAUCCUCUUGCUUCCCCACAGUAACUGAACCUAUGGGCGACCGCAGAGGAUGGCUCCUCUGGAAACAGCACCCGUCGGUGACUUCGAUACCUUGAGACUUGAGUUGUUCGCAAAGCACAAAACCAAAGCGCACACACAAAACAGAGAGAAAGCCUCACAGCUUCUUCUUAUGAGAGGUUAUGAAUAUUAACACAAACCCAAAAACAGAGAUGCUGAAAACGGUGGACUUGGGCAGAUUUCCUGCCAUGUUUCAAGCCUCGUCGGAGGAGUUUUGGCGGGAAAACGUUCACGGCGGAUGGGCUACUCUUGUUGCUGUCCUUAUUGUCUUGGCUUGGAAUUGCUUCAAGGGCUUGUUGCGUAAGAAAUCGUCUUCUUCUUCUUCUUCUUCUACUUCUUCAUCUUCAGUUAGUGCAUCUGAUUCAAAUCCCAUUGCUUCUGGCUCUGGGGGUUCACAAUUCAGGUAAAAGUUUCUGACUUUCUCAUGGGUUUUGUUCGUUUUCAAUUGGGUUUGUUUUUGUUCUUCUCAAGUUUCGUGCUUUCUUGUUUGAAUCUGAGAUUUUCGAAAUUGGGUUAUUCCUAAAACAUGGUAUCUGGGUUUAAUGAAGUUUUGGAUAUUUUGAUAAUUGGGAGUUGGUUAGAUUCAUUAUGUUCUUGCUUUAUCUGAAACUGUUCUUGUUAAUUUCUGCAUAAAGUUUGGAAUUUUGGGUUGAUUGGUAAUUGGGUGUUUGGAACUGAGUUUUGUUAAAGUUGGAUAUUGAGCGAUUAACUGUGAUUUUGUAUUGAUUGAGUGAUGGAUGUUUAUGUAUCUGCAGAGUCUCGGAAUUGGUAACAGAUGCAGAUUUGAAGUUUCUGAUUGAAAAUUUGAAUGAGAAGAAUGAGCAGAAUGAGAAAUGGGACAGUGUCAUAGAAAAAGGAAAUGAUCUUCUGUACUACAGUGCCAAGUGCUGCAAGCCUAAGGUAAUUCAUCCUGUGCUUAAUCUAUUUAGGUUUUGGAAAUCUCUGCUUACUUAUAAAUUUUAACCAAUUUGACUUUGUUUGAUGUCAUAGCCGUGUACAGUCACAUGUGAUUCUUGUGUAUUGUUGUUGCCUGAGUUCAUUAUCCAAAUUUUUCCCCAAGGCAUCUAAUUUUGGGUUGAACUCAUUUGUCAGAUGAAUGACUAGUUUCACCAAUUUACUCGACUGGUUUUAGCAAAUGAGUUUGAUCAAACUGAGUUAUUGUAUCUUGUCCUUGCUUUCAGGUUGGUCCUGUGAAGUACUUGAGUGUGACUAUAUUUGAAGACUGCUCUCCGGAGUUGCUGAGAGACUUCUACAUGGACAAUGAUUACAGAAAGCAAUGGGAUAAGAUGCUGAUUGAGCAUGAACAGUUACAUGUGGACAAAAACAAUGGGGUUGAAGUAGGCCGGACAAUAAAGAAGUUUCCACUUUUGACUCCAAGAGAAUAUGUAUUAGCUUGGAGAUUGUGGGAGGGAAAAGAUAACACAUUCUACUGUUUUGUCAAGGUAAUUAAUGUUGAAAUAUUUUUGUCUUUUACAUUUCUGUGAAAACAGUCCUGGGCAGAUUUUAUUUUGCAUGUGGUGGUACUCCAUGCUUGGUCUUUGAUUCUCUUGAUCAUAUUAGGACUUGUAUACCUCUGAAACCAAUUGCCUCAUAUUAUCUUUCCAAUUUUUGUGAUGACAGGAAUGUGAACAUUCUUUAGCACCGCGGCAGAAGAAGUAUGUACGUGUUAGUACUUUCAGAUCUGGUUGGCGAAUCAAGAAAGGUAAUUUUUUUUUUUCUGUGUCUUUAGAAAUGCUUGCAGUUGUAAGCAAGGCAACUAUAGUUGUUCUUCAUGUACUGGUGGCGCAUAAAGGAAUGAUUUCCGUAACACUUGAGGGCUUAUUUGGUUGCUUAUUUGGCAGAUUGCAUUACAUAUUGAAACGUGGACUUUUAUGUCAGUUUGAAGCAAAAUGUUUCGUUUAUAGUGUUGUGAUUUAAAUUUCUUCUACAGUACCUGGUAGAAAUGCCUGUGAGAUCAAAAUGUUUCACCAAGAAGAUGCUGGUUUAAACGUAGAGAUGGCAAAACUGGCCUUCUCAAAGGGCAUAUGGAGUUACAUAAGUAAGAUGGAUAGCGCACUGCGUAAAUAUUCUAAAAUCAGCAAUGAUCAAUCAAGUUCUGCUGCCACUGCAGUCACUCUGAUAAAAAAGGUCAGGACUUUCAUGUACACGGAAUAUUGUUUAGAUGCAUGUGUACCAUGGUUGUCAUCUGAAGCAUUUUCUGGUAAAGAUUGAUCCAACUUACUACAGUAACUGUGGAUAUAACACUAUACCAGAGAAUUCAUUGUGGUAUUGGAUAUUAUUUUUUAAUUUUAUAUUAUUAUUGUUUAAGGGUAGUGUAUACGUUGCAUGCCAUUUUUAGUUGUCUUGGCAAAUCUCAGUGAGCAGCAUGGCCCCUAAAUCUUGCCAAUAUUUUUAGACGUAACGGAUCAAACUAUUUUUUUUUUUUUUGAGUGCACCAAACAGGAUUUUAAUUGCUUGAACCAUUAGAUACUUUAUAAAGGAAAUGUCUGAAUUGUAUCUAUAGUUCACUAGUAUUCAUUAGUGAUUUCCUUUAUUUGAUAUAAUAACAAAUGUAAUCUAGUUCAAAUUUCACAUCACCAUGCUAUUAAACCUGUUUCUGUUAUUGAUUGGUAUUCUUCUUCACAUAGGUCCCCCCUGGAUUAGAGGCCACAGAUAGCACCGGAGCAACCUCUGCAGAACCUAUUGUUCACAAACCGAUUAUUGGUGGGGAGAGGAAAUUGUCAAGAAGACCAUCAAAGAAAUUGCUAGCAAAUGGCUUGCUGCUUCUCGGGGGUGUGGUCUGCUUGUCACGCGGUCGCUCUAGCCUGGGUGCAAAGGUUGCCAUGGCAUAUAUUCUGACCAAACUGAAUAAGCGUGGUUCUUCAUCAAGUCGAAGUGGGGAUAUUGCAGGCAGAUGACAAUGUUGGCAUCACAAUUAAAUUUUGGAGGGCCUAGUAAAUUAUCGACAGGGUCAUCAACUACUCGGAAACUAAACCCAGUACCUCACCGGUCAAACCAAUUAGCUCAAAGUACGUUGGACCUCAACCCUAGUCUUUUGGGAAAUUUUGCUCUUACCUCACCAGCCCUUAAUAAGUUGAAUAAUGCUUGCACCCUGUUCGACUGUGCCUGUUUGCUGGCAGCACAUUUGGUCCUACCCGUGAGGGAAUGAUCCCGCAGCCUGAUUGUGAACAAAGUAACAGAUGUCUCUUCUGGUUUGACUUUCUUGUUACUGUUAAAAAAACUCUCCGGGCUUUAAGAAAAGAAAAAGAAUGUGCAUACUAUUUAUUUAUCUUUGUUUGGAGAAUAUUAGAAAACUUUACUCUCUCAACAUCUGUAAAAUUUCACAUUCUGUAGUUACGCUGGGAAAUUAAUGAUGAAAGUAUUACUUCCUUGUCAUACAGUGACACAUGCCUACAUAAUGUACUGUUCCCGAUAAACAGAAUCAAUAAUAUGCGUGUGCUGUGAUAGAAGUUUAUGCAGAUGGAUGAACAAUGCACACAACAGAAACAAAAUGAGAGAAUGACUUAGAAUAUGGGUGAGGAAGUAAUAUUUAUAAGCUCCCUAUGUUAAAUUCUAGUAUUAGACUAAUCCACAUGUAUUUACUAACUUUUAUCUAAGAUAAAAACGUGAGUGAGAGCUCUGUAAACUGACUCUAUGCAUUAGUAGAUUGACUUAGCAUUCUCACGUUAGUCUACAGUUGCAGAAAAUUGGUCUUCUCACAUUGGUUUACAUAGAUCAUUAUCCAAUAGUUGGAUGAGUAAAAUGCUGAUUUACAACCCAUAUAUAUACCUAAAAAUGGCAACAACAUGACGUCAUGACCCAUGAUUGAUGGACACCCAAUUUUCUUCAUUUGGCCAAAUCUUAGGUGAUAUAUAAAUAUAUAACUGUAAUGUCAAGUUUCAACUAAAGAAGAAAGAAAUGGAAAUUACAAUAGAGGAGUCCAUUGCAGCCUCGUUUGAAAAACAGUUGAAAGACGCGGGUAAUCUAAGCUGCUAAAAGGUUGGAGGUUUGGGAGGCUCUCAUUUUGUCCUGACCUUUCGGCCUCAGACUGUUAAAAUAGCUGUUUUUUAACUUAACAUUUUUCUAAUGCUUAGCUCUUCCUUUCUUUCAUCUAAUUUUGGCCAACUCAAAAUUUUCUGUCACAAACCAACCCAAGAAGCCCACAGUAAAAACAACAUUUCUCCAAAACAGAAAUCAAUGAAACAAAAUAUAAAGUGUUCGGUUCUUCUUCUGUUUCGUGGUUUAAAAACGAUUUCUUCAUCACCAAUCAAAACCCCAUCUUUGUUCUUCUUCUCACUUUCUGGGUUUUACUGAUCUCUUAAAUUUGUGCCAGAAAGGAUGUUCCACAACCUUCUUGUGUUGUGGGGUGUUCUCUUUGGAUUCUGCACCGUCUGCGUUUAUUCGAAGACCAAUACUCAGGAUGGUAUGUUUGCAUAUUCUAGCAUUAAUAGUUUCUUGCAUAUUUGAAUGCAGGUUUCAUUUUCUUCUGUAGAAUUAGUUGAUCGUCUCUUUUUUAAAAGUAUAUGACAUUUGUCUUGAUUAUAUAUGAAAUCAUAAGAUUACCAAUGUCCCAUGCAAUGAGAAUUUCCUUUUCAGAUUGAAACCAUAGAAAUCAAGAUGGUAGUUCUGCUUUCUUAUUAGUUGGUUUCAAAUUUUCAAAUACAAUGUUAUCGGCAAAAAGAGGCUUCAAUUAAAAUGGUUUCAAGCAUUUCGUUGCAGAAUGUUCAUUUGAAUGCUUGUUGUUUGUCCAAGUACUGUUAUUGGCAUAAAGAGAACAUGCUUGUUAUUGGUUUUUUUUGUCCCCUCCAUGAUGAUGCAUGUUAGGUUGGUACAAAUUCUCCAUAUCAAUAUGCUAAUACUUUUCUCUAUCUGGCAGUCACUGCCCUUAAUGUGAUGUAUAACAGUUUAACCUCUAAAUCAAAACUAAGUGAUUGGAAAUCAAGUGGAGGUGACCCUUGUGGUGAUUCUUGGAAAGGGAUCAAAUGCAAAGGCUCAGCUGUAACUGAAAUGUAAUUCUGAUUUCCUACCUUAUUCUAUUUGAUACUAGAACUAUCCAAAUCUCUAAUGAAAUCUACAUGUUUCGCUUAUUUAAACUAUUUGCAGAAAUUUGUCUGACCUUGACCUCAGUGGAACAAUGGGGUACCAGCUUGCAAGCUUAUCAUCUGUCACCUCCUUGUAAGGCCCAGUUCAUUAGAGUAGGCAUUUUUAUUGUUGAUUUUGUUAUCUUUUAAAAGCACAUAACCUGAAUGCUGUGUGCAUUUGUUCGUCAUAGUACAGUGACUUAAGCAACAACAAAUUCAGCGGCGAUAUACCAUAUCAACUGCCUCCUAACGCAAAAUAUAUGUAAGUUCUUGUACAAACAUUUUCUAGAAUAUAACAAAUAUGCUAUCACCAGAGUUUCUAUUAAGUAUUGUCAUUGUCAAAUGUCUAUACUAAUACUUCAUGACCUGGAUGUGCAGAGAUCUUUCUAACAAUGGCUUCACAAAUACCGUACCAUAUUCAGUAUCUCAGAUGUCUGACCUUGAAACUCUGUAAGUAGUUGUUUCUGUGUUACCACAAUCCUCUAAGAAGUCACUCCAAUGUCUAAAUGUUUUUUUUUUCCGGCAUGCAGAAAUCUUGGUAAUAACAAGCUCAACGGACAGUUGACUGAUAUGUUCAAUAAACUUACUAAACUUAAAAAGCUGUAAGUUCUGCUGACUUAUUUAAAAUGCACAUUUCCGUUUAAACUAGCCUGUGCCUGUUGACUAACUCAUCAUAUCAUGGAAUGAUGUAUAGGGACCUAUCGCACAACUCACUGACUGGCAACUUGCCUCAGAGUUUUGCAAAGCUCUCAAGCCUCAAGACAUUGUAAGAAGCGUGAUACUAUAUAUUUAAAUCUAAAUCUAUAUAUUCAAGGUGCCUGUUGCUAAGUCCUCCACCUUAUGUCUCCAUGCAGGUAUCUGCAGAACAAUCAAUUUACUGGGACGAUAAAUGUCCUCCUGUACACUCCAGUUAAUGAUUUGUGAGUAUAUAUGGUGAUAGAGCAUUUGAUGAUUCAGAUCUUUGUUUUUUGUUUGUUUUCUUAAACCAUUUUUCAUGAACUUAAGUUUGUCAAGUUCUACAAGCUCCCUUCUCGAGUUGAGCAACGUAUUAUGCUCGCAGGAAUGUUGAAAACAACAAAUUUACUGGUUGGGUCCCUAAUGAUUUGAAGAGCAUAAAAAUAAAGUGAGUAUAUUUGAAAUAACUCUGAGCUAGGAUGCGGUGGUUACAAUUUGUUUCUGACUUGUUGACAAUGUAUGUGAAGGUAUGGAGGAAAUAAUUGGUCAUCUGGGCCAUCUCCACCUUCUCCUCCUGGUGUAAACCAUAAUAGGGGGUCGGGCAGCAGUAGCAGUGGUGGCGGAAGGAAGUCUUCAGUAACCAUGGGAUUGACAAUAGCUGCGAUAGCCUUCGCCGUAUUGUUUCUGCUUGGAGUUAUAAUUUUCUUGUUUUCAAGAAAGAAACGUCCUAAUAAUUCACAUCUCCUUGAUGAUGAUAGACUUGACAGGCACAAAUCCUUCUCUAUGUUUUCAUCUAGGGACUUGACUAAAGACAUGCAUUCUGAUUAUGAUGGUAAUUCAAAACUAUAGAGAAACCUUGGAUUUAGAAUAAUUGGUUUUACUUUGCAAUUCCUUUCCUAGUCCUAUAUAUACAAAAUGGGUCUGCUCUCGAGUAACUAGAUGAUAUCCUUGUGACAGGCUUGAAAUCUUCUGAUCCUGCAGCCGUUAUUGACAUAAAGCCUGUUCAAAAAUCUCCAUCAUCUGGUUUUAAGUCCAUCUCUGGCCGAUUGCAAUCCUUUGCCAGAAGAAGUACCUCUGUGAAAGCUGUAUCGUACGCUUUAGCAGACUUGCAGAUUGCGACAGGUAAUUUUGCACCAGCUCGCCUUCUUGGACAGGGCACAAUUGGACGUGUCUACAAGGCUAAAUUUGAGAGUGGGAAGGUACAUCUGUUCUUGACUACAUGAUAAUUAAUUCAUACUUUCCUGUUGCCGCUUAAUCUUGUAUAUCGGUUCAUGUUAAGUGAACUUUUAAUGUGCUUUCCACUCUUGUGAUUGGUUACCAGUAAUUGAUGAUAUUAGGAUCUGUGUUUACUCCAUUUUCUGAUUAACUGGUGCUAAAGACAGUACCAUCUUGGUAAAGAUGUCUGAAAUUUUACUGAUAAUUUAAUGUCAUAUGCAUGUCAGAUUUUGGCUGUUAAAAAGAUCGACUCCUCAUUGUUCCAAGGCACAUCACCACAAGACUUUUCUGACAUCGUUGUGAGCAUUUCCAAGAUUCGACAUGCCAAUGUAGCCGAACUUGUUGGUUAUUGUGCAGAACACGGGCACAACAUGUUAAUUUACGAGUAUUUCAGGAAUGGCUCACUUAAUGAGUUCUUACACCAGUCAGAUGACUACAGCAAUCCUCUAACUUGGAACACAAGAGUCAAGAUUGCUAUGGGCACUGCGCGUGCUAUUGAGUAAGUGAACUGUAUCCUGCUCUUGAAAUUGCUGAUCCAUUAGUACUGGCCAGUAACAAGUUUUUCGUGAACUGUUUUCAGGCACCUCCAUGAGGUUUGCUCUCCACCCGUAAUUCACAAGAACAUCAAAUCAUCCAAUAUCUUUCUAGACCUUGAACUCAAUCCUCGUCUCUCUGAUUAUGGCUUGGCAACCUUUCAUCAGGUAAACUACUUCCGCUUUGCAUCAAUGUGCUUCAGGAUUUCCUAUGUACUCUUUAAUUUGCUUUAGAAGAACAAGAAAUUAGAAGUGGUUGUUCUAUUUUUCAGCGCACUAGCCAAAACCUAGGGAUGGGAUACAAUGCACCAGAAUGCACGAAGCCAUCAGCUUAUACAAUGAAGAGUGAUGUUUACAGCUUUGGGGUAGUGAUGUUGGAAUUAUUGACAGGUGAAAAACCAGUCGACAGGUGCGUUACAUUGGUAUCUUACUCUUUGUUUUCUUCACUAUUUGAGCUAGUCAAUGUCUAGCCAUUCUUAACUAGCUUUGUUACUUCCCUUCUUUAGUUCAAAACCACCUGCACAGCAGUCCCUUGUCCGAUGGGCAACUCCACAGCUCCAUGAUCUCGACAAAUUGUCACAAAUGGUCGACCCUGGCCUGCGAGGACUCUACGAUCCCAAGUCAGUCUCCCGGUUUGCUGAUAUCAUUGCCCUAUGCGUUCAGGUGAGCAACUCUCUAAUCUUAGACAACUAUCAGAAACCAAAAUAUGACCUCAUGCAGUACCUCUUUGCCAAAAUUUACAUAAAUACAUAAUACAUAUAACUGGCCGGAUGUGGAGCGGAGGUCCGCACUCCGGCUUAAAGUGCGGACCUCGUCUGUUCUCCGCCGUCUCACGCCGGCGACGACUUCUCUCCUUCCCGGACGACAGCACAGGCUUCCAGGACGGCUUCUCUCCUUCCGGGACUGACCGGCGACAAGUUUUCCGGCCAACCUUGAUCAAUAAUGGUGUUUUCCGUCCAGAGCUUCAAUCCGGCCGGAAAACUUGUCGCCGGCCAGUCCUGGAAGGAGAGAAACCGUCCUGGAAGCCUGUGUUGUCGUCCGGGAAGGAAAGAAACCGUCGCCGGCGUGAGACGGCGGAGAACGGACGAAGUCCGCACUUUAAGCCGAGUGCAGACGGUCUGCUUCUCCUCCUCUCUGAUACAUAUAAUAUAAAGACUUAACAUACCAUAACAUGCUUUAACAUGCUUUUUGAUAGCUUCUACAUAGUGAAAUUCUUAUGUUUCUGUUAGGGAUUCACAUUAUAAGCUGCAUGUUGUCCCUGGUUUAGGCUGGACUUGAUUAAGAUUCUAAUGUUACUAACUUAUACUUUGUAUCUAUUAGCUAGAGCCGGAGUUCCGGCCACCUAUCUCAGAAGUGGUUCAGCAAUUGGUGCGGCUAGUUCAGCGUUCCACCGUGGAUUUUUCUCGUCAUUCUAGUAACAUGAGCAGCUACAGAGAAGAUCUCCAAUCUUCUCGUCGGCUAACCGACUUUUGAAGAAGACUAGUUUUCAUUUUGGAACAUGUAAAAUGUAAUUAGCUUGAAACACAGAUUAACUAGUCAUGCACUUUCUUCCGAUAUUUGUUAAUAGAUUUCCUUCAAUGUAGUCUCUGUUCAUUCUACAUAGGCCAAUGCAAGCAGAUUUGAGAAAAUGUUACUGAAAUCUCUUCAGUUUCAGGAAUUUAUUAUUUCAUAAUACUUUGAGUAGUCAAAUUCUCUUUAUUCAUGCUCUCGUUCACAAAACCAUAGAAGCUCUACCUUGCCCAUGCUAUUGUAUAUGAUGCAUGCCUGAGACCUUUUUUUAGGCAAUAGGAAAGAAGAUAGCAUCUAAGGCGGCAUCAAGCUGAAAGCCCUUGAAAGAAACAACAAAACCAAAACUCGAAAUGCAUAAAAACGUAAGCAAGAUUUAAGCAAAGCUAAUCGAACAAAAGAUCAAGACGCAUAACGGGCGACCGAAUGUAUCUCCUUUGGUCUUGGGUUUCUUAUUUUGAGAUUUUGCGAGAAAUUUAAGAGCAUUCUCAUCUUAUAUCAUCCAUGAGACAAUGUGGUAUAGUCUACUGUUUGGUCUCUUGCUUUGGACGCUAGACCAGAUGGUGGUUGAGGCUCCACCGGCCCUUGGUGUUUUGUGAGGCCAACACUUUCCUCGAUCACUUCAGGCAACGGACCUAAUUAGCUAACAGGCUUUGGUUAAUUUAUGUCUUGGCUAUUGAUAGUCGCAUAUUUGUGCGACUUUUAUCAUGCUAAUUAUUCUUAUUACUUAUUUAUUUUGUGAUGUUUUCCUAUUUUUAAUUAACUUUAUUUGUUUUUAGGUGUUUUGAAGUCAAACAAAGAAAAGGAGAUAAUUGGGCUUAAUUAGGACCCCUAAUCCUAGUUGGAUUGGGGAUGGACGUGACAAAUAGGUUCACUAACCUAUUUCAAUGAGAGGAGCAGCCGAACAAGAGGGGGAGGCCGAACCAGAAAAAGAGAAGAAAAAAAGGGAAGAAAGAAAGAGAAGAAAAAGAGAGAGAAGGAGAAGAAAGAAAGGAGAGGAAAAAGAACUCGAUCGGCAAAGAUCUUCUUCAAUCAAGUUUUCUUCUUCUCACCCUUAUUUCAUCUUCCAUGUAUUCUCUGAUGUUCUUAAUCAAGAUUAUGUGUAACUAAACUCCUUAGUAGUUAGGGGCUGAUCAAAGCCCUAGAUAUGUCUUCGAUUUCAAACCCCAAUUGAUUUAUAUAAUUUUAGAUGAGAAUUUCUUCACUGAUUGUUCAUUGAUAAUUCUAUUGCAUGUUUAAUUGAGUCGACACUUUGAUGCAUGUUUUAGGGUUUAUUAUUUUGAAUGUGUUUAUGACUGACAUAUCGUUGCAUAUUCUAUGAGAGAUAACAAGUUCUUUCCAGAUACUUGUGUGAAGUGAUUCCUUGGUAAUCUAAGGCUACCGACAUUGACCUUAGAUUCUUUGUUGCUACUCAAACGUUCUUAGAUCUUCAUGAUUUCAGUUAUUUUGAUCUAGAUACCGACAUUUCAUAGAUCAAUUAAUUGGGAAUAUAGUUAAGUCGAUACCGACAUUUCACUUAACAUGGCAAGUAAGAGAACGUAAUAUGGUUAAUGACCUAACGACAUUGGCUUAACUGUGAGUGCAUUCAUCUUUAGUCAUUGACAUUGUUUUGGGGUGAUUGAAGCGUAUCUAGUGGUGAAGAGAAGUUCCUAGCUAUUGUUUCUCUCAUAUUUACAUCCAUAUUCACUUUUUAAUAUUCUGU
rnacentral:lncRNA from 1 species